AUAAUGGGUCAGCGACUUAUAUUCUGUAGCAAGGUUAACCGAAUAGGGGAGCCGAAGGGAAACCGAGUCUUAACUGGGCGUUAAGUUGCAGGGUAUAGACCCGAAACCCGGUGAUCUAGCCAUGGGCAGGUUGAAGGUUGGGUAACACUAACUGGAGGACCGAACCGACUAAUGUUGAAAAAUUAGCGGAUGACUUGUGGCUGGGGGUGAAAGGCCAAUCAAACCGGGAGAUAGCUGGUUCUCCCCGAAAGCUAUUUAGGUAGCGCCUCGUGAAUUCAUCUCCGGGGGUAGAGCACUGUUUCGGCAAGGGGGUCAUCCCGACUUACCAACCCGAUGCAAACUGCGAAUACCGGAGAAUGUUAUCACGGGAGACACACGGCGGGUGCUAACGUCCGUCGUGAAGAGGGAAACAACCCAGACCGCCAGCUAAGGUCCCAAAGUCAUGGUUAAGUGGGAAACGAUGUGGGAAGGCCCAGACAGCCAGGAUGUUGGCUUAGAAGCAGCCAUCAUUUAAAGAAAGCGUAAUAGCUCACUGGUCGAGUCGGCCUGCGCGGAAGAUGUAACGGGGCUAAACCAUGCACCGAAGCUGCGGCAGCGACGCUUAUGCGUUGUUGGGUAGGGGAGCGUUCUGUAAGCCUGCGAAGGUGUGCUGUGAGGCAUGCUGGAGGUAUCAGAAGUGCGAAUGCUGACAUAAGUAACGAUAAAGCGGGUGAAAAGCCCGCUCGCCGGAAGACCAAGGGUUCCUGUCCAACGUUAAUCGGGGCAGGGUGAGUCGACCCCUAAGGCGAGGCCGAAAGGCGUAGUCGAUGGGAAACAGGUUAAUAUUCCUGUACUUGGUGUUACUGCGAAGGGGGGACGGAGAAGGCUAUGUUGGCCGGGC
rnacentral:rRNA from 1 species